GAUGAACGCUGGCGGCGUGCCUAAUACAUGCAAGUCGAGCGAACGGACGAGAAGCUUGCUUCUCUGAUGUUAGCGGCGGACGGGUGAGUAACACGUGGAUAACCUACCUAUAAGACUGGGAUAACUUCGGGAAACCGGAUCUAAUACCGGAUAAUAUUUUGAACCGCAUGGUUCAAAAGUGAAAGACGGUCUUGCUGUCACUUAUAGAUGUAUCCUCGCUGCAUUAGCUAGUUGGUAAGGUAACGGCUUACCAAGGCAACGAUGCAUAGCCGACCUGAGAGGGUGAUCGGCCACACUGGAACUGAGACACGGUCCAGACUCCUACGGGAGGCAGCAGUAGGGAAUCUUCCGCAAUGGGCGAAAGCCUGACGGAGCAACGCCGCGUGAGUGAUGAAGGUCUUCGGAUCGUAAAACUCUGUUAUUAGGGAAGAACAUAUGUGUAAGUAACUGUGCACAUCUUGACGGUACCUAAACAGAAAGCCACGGCUAACUACGUG
rnacentral:rRNA from 1 species